GCAUCCAUGGCUCUGAAUGGUAAAAGCGCCCAACAAGGAGAAAUGGGCUAAUUCGUAGGUUCGAUUCCUACUGGAUGCG
rnacentral:ncRNA from 15 species